AUACUUACCUGGCAGGGGGGAGAACAUGAUCAGGAAGGUGGUUUUCCCAAGGCAAGGCUUAUCCAUUGCACUCUGGAUGUGCUGAGCCCUGCAAUUUCCCCAAAUGUGGGGAAUUUGACCACAUAAUUUGUGGUAGUGGGGGACUCCCA
ensembl:snRNA U1 U1 spliceosomal RNA